UUUAUACUCCCUUCGUUUCAAAAUUCCUGUCUUAGAUUUGUCUAGAUAUGAAUGUAUUUAAUCAGAUUUUAUUAUUUUAGAUACACUCAUUUCUAAAUAACCUAAGACAAGAAUUUUGAGACGAAUGGAGUAUUUA
rnacentral:pre_miRNA from 1 species